AAGGAAAGAAAGGAAAAAAAAAAGGUAAAAAAAAAAAAAAAAAAAGAAAAGAAAUCUG
rnacentral:ribozyme from 14 species